UUGAUCCUGGCUCAGAACGAACGCUGGCGGCGUGGAUAAGACAUGCAAGUCGCACGGAGAAAAGAUAGUUUACUAGCUUUUCUGAGUGGCGCACGGGUGAGUAACACGUGAGCAACCUGCCUCUUAGUGGGGGAUAGCCCUGGGAAACCGGGAUUAAUACCGCAUAUCAUCGCAAGAUGAAAGCAGCAAUGCGCUAAGAGAGGGGCUCGCGGCCUAUUAGUUAGUUGGUGAGGUAACGGCUCACCAAGGCGAUGACGGGUAGCCGGUCUGAGAGGAUGUCCGGCCACACUGGAACUGAGACACGGUCCAGACACCUACGGGUGGCAGCAGUCGAGAAUCAUUCACAAUGGGGGAAACCCUGAUGGUGCGACGCCGCGUGGGGGAAGAAGGUCUUCGGAUUGUAAACCCCUGUCAUGUGGGAGCAAGCUAGCAAUAGUUGAUAGUACCACAAGAGGAAGAGACGGCUAACUCUGUGCCAGCAGCCGCGGUAAUACAGAGGUCUCAAGCGUUGUUCGGAAUCACUGGGCGUAAAGGGUACGUAGGCUGUACCAUAAGUCGGGCGUGAAAGGCA
rnacentral:rRNA from 1 species